rnacentral:tRNA from 1 species
GCCCGGGUGGUGGAAUGGCAUACACAAGGGACUUAAAAUCCCUCGUCGCAAGACAUGCGAGUUCGACCCUCGCCCCGGGCA